CCAGACUCCUACGGGAGGCAGCAGUGGGGAAUAUUGCACAAUGGGCGCAAGCCUGAUGCAGCCAUGCCGCGUGUAUGAAGAAGGCCUUCGGGUUGUAAAGUACUUUCAGUCGGGAGGAAGGUGUCAAGGUUAAUAACCUUGGCAAUUGACGUUACCGACAGAAGAAGCACCGGCUAACUCCGUGCCAGCAGCCGCGGUAAUACGGAGGGUGCAAGCGUUAAUCGGAAUUACUGGGCGUAAAGCGCACGCAGGCGGUCUGUCAAGUCGGAUGUGAAAUCCCCGGGCUCAACCUGGGAACUGCAUUCGAAACUGGCAGGCUAGAGUCUUGUAGAGGGGGGUAGAAUUCCAGGUGUAGCGGUGAAAUGCGUAGAGAUCUGGAGGAAUACCGGUGGCGAAGGCGGCCCCCUGGACAAAGACUGACGCUCAGGUGCGAAAGCGUGGGGAGCAAACAGAAUUAGAUACCCCUGUAGC
rnacentral:rRNA from 1 species